AGUGAACGCUGGCGGUAGGCCUAACACAUGCAAGUCGAACGGCAGCACAGUAAGAGCUUGCUCUUACGGGUGGCGAGUGGCGGACGGGUGAGGAAUACAUCGGAAUCUACUUUUUCGUGGGGGAUAACGUAGGGAAACUUACGCUAAUACCGCAUACGACCUACGGGUGAAAGCAGGGGAUCUUCGGACCUUGCGCGAUUGAAUGAGCCGAUGUCGGAUUAGCUAGUUGGCGGGGUAAAGGCCCACCAAGGCGACGAUCCGUAGCCGGUCUGAGAGGAUGAUCAGCCACACUGGAACUGAGACACGGUCCAGACUCCUACGGGAGGCAGCAGUGGGGAAUAUUGGACAAUGGGCGCAAGCCUGAUCCAGCCAUACCGCAUGGGUGAAGAAGGCCUUCGGGUUGUAAAGCCCUUUUGUUGGGAAAGAAAAGCAGCAGGUUAAUACCCCGCUGUUCUGACGGUACCCAAAGAAUAAGCACCGGCUAACUUCGUG
rnacentral:rRNA from 1 species